GUCGCGGAACCAAUGGCGUUUCCGGCGCCGGGAUUCAAACGUGCGCGGGCGCUGAGGACGAGCGUGGGGCUGGUCCAUGGAUCUGAUCCGGGGCUUCUGCGGGAAGCUGCGGUCUCUGGCCGUCACCCUGGACGGCGAGACGGCUCGGCUGCAUCGAGCGCUGGACGGAGAGGACAGCGACUUUGAAGAUUAUCCAAUGAGAGUUUUACAUGACCUUCAUUCAGAAGUCCGGACUCUAAAGGAUGAUGUCAAUAUUCUUCUUGAUGAAGCAAGCCUGGAAAGUCAAGAAAGCAUUGGUUUCAUAAAGGCAACAAAAGUACUGAUGAAAAAAAAUUCAAUGGAUAUCAUGAAAAUUAGAGAGUUUUUCCAGAAAUAUGGAUAUAAUCCACGUGCCAAGGAAAAUUCAGGGGAUGAGCAAGAAGUCGUUGACUCUAAACCAGAGAACAAUAAACGUGAAAAUCCUGAGAAGCCUGAUGUGAAGGGUGAUUUGUCGGAUUCCGCUCCUCCAAGCAGUUCUGUUUCUGAGAAGCCUCCACGUAGUCCACAACUUUCCGAUUUUGGACUCGAGCGGUACAUGAUAUCCCAAGUUCUGCCAAACCCUCCCCAGGCAGUAAACAACGAGAAGGAAGAGCCAAAAAUUUUAACUCCAUUUUCCAAACAGCCACUAGUAAAAACUCCCAAAUGCGCACUAAAGAUGGAUGAUUUUGAGUGUGUGACUCCUAAAUUAGAACACUUUGGUAUCUCUGAAUAUACUAUGUGUUUAAAUGAAGAUUAUACAAUGGGACUUAAAAAUGUGAAGAAUAACAGUGAGGAGGCCAUAGAAACAGAACCAGUGACCAACAAUAAUUUCUUUGCCACUCCUGGCCCCAUAACCCAGCCAUUGGAAAAAAAUGAUGCCGAGCAUACACAUUCUCCUGUGGCACCUACAUUCUGCACUCCUGGCUUGAAAAUCCCUUCUACAAAGAACAGCACAGCUUUGGUAUCCACAAAUUAUCCAUUAUCAAAAACAAAUAGUUCAUCAAAUGACUUGGAAAUGAAAGACAGUACAUCGUUAGUUUUAAAUUCAGACGAGUGCUUUGAGAAUUUUGCGGAUCCCUCUUCUCCUACGAUUUCUUCCUAUGAGAAUCUGCUCAGAACACCUACACCUCCAGAAGUAACUACAAUUCCAGAAGAUAUUCGCCAGAUUUUAUCAAAAUACAACUCAAACCUAGCUACUCUGGUAGCAGUUAGAGAAGUGCCGCCCAGCAGAGUGUUCCUUCCUCGGUGUGAAGGACAGGACGUCCGAGACGCUGGCAACAGAGAAAACUGGUGAAAAAAUUGUAGUGGAUCCAUCCUUCCAUCAUAGAAACUGAAGAGGAAAGCAAACCUGCUCUUACUUUGCUUUUCACAUUCCCCGACAUCUUUCCCCUUUUGAAAAUCCAACUCAUAUUAAAGAUGAGCACGGACACUGAUGUCACUAAAUGCUUUUUAUUAAGUUUGAUUUAGUCUAACCUCAGUCUUGUUGACGUGUAGUUCAGUUACUCAGUUUGGAAAGAUCAUUACUAUUUCACUGAUUUCAAAUUUACCCUGCCUAAUGGAAGAGUAUGGUUUAAGUAAUAUUAGGAAGCAGGAUAAAUAAUUUUUGAAAUUUAAACGUUACAGUUUGCUACUCAGAUAAGGCCACUUUCAGUCUUCUUGGGCUAGACAGUUGUUGCUAGACCUGGGCUUCUUCCUUGGGUCUAGCUCUGCCCUUCUGUCUCCUCUCAUGACUGUCCCAAGUCUUUUACACCUUUUAUUUCAACAGUGCUCUUUUAAGGCACUGUUGUUUACAAAUGACAGCUUAAAUUAAUUUAGGAAGAGGAAUUUACAGGCCUAGGUAACUAUACUGAAGUAGGUGUCUCGGACUUUUGGAAAUUAGACGCUUGCCUGCAGUCAGGACGGAUGUUUUAUUUUUACUUGUCAGUUUCAUCCUUUCAAAUCACCUCUUACCAGCAUGGCUGCAACCUCUCCAGGUCCCCCUCCAGCUCAGCAGCCCCAACAGAGCCUGAGCCUCACACUCUGUGGAGGGUCCCAGGACUCCUCCUGGCCAGGUGCUCAUCUCUGGACUGUCCGCUGUGCCUCUAGAGCUGUCUGAGAGCUCCAGGCUGCCCUGUCCAUGGAGCCCAAGAUCCUUCCGGCCUAAGUAAAGUUGAUGCAGCAAAGAUUAUCCUCUUUUAUGGUUGGGCCUUGAAAGUCAAAUGUGAAGACCUGUCACAUUGUGAAUCUUCGUUUUGUCAGAAAAUUGCCACUAAAACAAAACAAUUUAUUCUUUGUUCUAGGAACUACUGUGUAAUAAUUUUUGCUAAAUAUUGAUACAAUGUAAAAUUCAAGAUAUUUAGUUUUAUUUUUCCAGGUAAGCUCUGGUCAGCCUUGUAUAUACGAUGGUGACUCCCAAAUUAUAUCAGCCUUUUAUACACUAUUUACCAUGGCUCUGUGUACCUAAGUCCACAGAGUGGACAGAUUGCUUGAGGGAGGGAGUAUAUUCAAAGUGCAUGCAGGGCUGAGUCCUGGAGUUCCAUUUUAGAAGAUGGAAAGAGGCAGAAAAAUCUAGCAAAGGAGAUGAAGAAGCUGGUGAAGUAGGAAGGAAAUACUUCAAGCCAAGUGAUCGAUUCUAUCAAUGUUGCUGAGAAUCCAAGACAAGACAGAAUUACCACUGGACUUGGCAAAAUUGCUGUUGCUGACAGCACUGAUGAAUUCUGACAGAGCGCUCAGGACAGACUUCUGGGGUGGACUGGAAAGGUGGGAGGUGAGGAAGCAGAGAUCACGGACUGAGACGGCUCUUUUCAUGAGUUUUGCUCAAGAAGGGAGAGAAGAAAUGGUGCUGCAGCCAGAGGGGGUGUGAGUCAAACCAGGUUUUUGAAGAUGGGAAAUAAAGAACGUUCCAUUAAUCAUUUCCGAUGGCCUGCUGGGUGUCUCCACCUGUCUUGUGAUGGCCCCUCAAUUCAGUUUGACCAGAAUUUCUCUUUCCCUGGCCCUUACCACUCUCCUCCUGUGAUCUUAGUUUCUGUUCCCUAGAACUAGGAUGCUUCCGGCUUAUCAAACUUCAAAUGUUACACUUCAGUGUCCUCCCACUGCUCUCAAGAGGAAUCCAGGGUCCCAAAAUGGCCUCCAGGACCACCCCCCUGUGACUCGACCCUCAGUUGCCCCUCCCUCUUGUCUCAAAACCUGGGCUCCAGCUGGCAGCCGGCCUUUCCUCUCCUUCCCUUCGUUCCUGCCCUGGGCUUCAUAGGCCCCGGGCUUCACAGGUGCUCUCUCUGCCCAAAUGGCUUCUCCCACCCACUCUGCUCAGCUGACUAUCCCUCACAUCCUUAUGCUGUAGAUACUUGAUGUUUUUGUCUGCCCACCACUCCUACCCCCUUAAAGGAAAACGCUCCGAUUUUCCCUGAGCUCAGCCCAGUUCCAAGACCAACCAAGCAGGGUCACAGUCCCUUACCAGUUGGUGUUGGGCACGUGACCCACGUCAUAUCCAAGAGAGCCAACUGUGGGACUUUGGGGAACUACUAGGAAGAGCAGAACGUUUUUCUGGAUGUGCAGAGAUGUGUACCCGGAGCCACGAAGGGAGAGGCCGAAGGUGGAGCUGCCACCGAAGUUCCAGCAGGAGACGUGGGAGGGCUUGGAGGCCAACUCUAACCCCAAUUUUUCAGCCCAGACCUUGCUGACCGCCUCUGGGCUGUGUUCCCUCCCCCCAUCCUCCACCACGCCCCCGCUUGUCACCUGACGGCAGAAGCAUCCUACGGUCCUCUUCAUCCUGAUCUCUGGCCAAACUCCUGGUGAGUGCUCCGGUGUUCCUGGCGUUUCAGCUCACGCCACCCUUUAUCUACUGGGAGCCGAAAUCCAACCCCUGUGGGCGCUGAACAAGGUCACAUGCCAUCCUCAGCAGCAACUUGUCUUUCUCACGACACCUUCUAAUCCGCCUUUGAUCAUCGGCACUUACACCUUUUGUUACCAGACUGCGGCUUUCUGAGGAAGGGUCUGUGUGUCGGGUCUGUCUGCACCCCCAGGCCCACGGCAUUCAUCCCGUAUUUUAUUCCCUGAAGUGUGGAAGGAGCUAGUACUACUACAGAUUCUGACGGUCUCCAGUAAUGCAUGCAGAUUUUGGAAAGGCCUCGGGUGGUUCACCUCAUUCAUAGUUUCGUCCUCUCCUGGACGCUUUCUGAGGAGUUGUUGGCUGCAGCUGGGCUGGCCCGCCAGCGUGGGCAGGAGCAGGAAAUUCUGACAGCUGAAGGCAUGAAGUGAGGGGGCUACAUGUGCCUUUUUUCUUGUUUUUAGAACAGCUGUUUAUUGAACAUGCCCUCUCUACCAGGCCCUCCUCUAAGCCCCCUUUCAUCUGGCUCUUCUCAACGGUGUUCUUGAGCUGCCCCUACAUGCACACACACAGAGUUGAUGUCUGAAACAUCCCCUGAGCCAGUGCCCACGAUGGUAAUGAAAAUUUAAGUAUAAACUAACAUCGACUCCCUACCGAGGAUCCGGUAAGUAGCUGAAAAUGCCAAGCUCCUGUAUGCUGUGAGAAAACUGAAGAUACCAACCUCCGAAGGGAAAACACUUCAAGAGCCUGUGAGGCAGUCAGGACACUGAAGGCUGAGCACGUGCCGUCACGGUGACCGUGAAACAGCUCAGCUGCUCACUCAAAGCCGUACUGUCACAGCCAGAGGUGAAUAAGGACCAAGUACAAGUCUUUUCAUUCUUAGCAUUAUAUUCAAUGAUAAAUUCACUAGGUAUUCUUUAACUGUACUUUUGAUGGAAGAAUUCCAUGUUGGGACAUAGAGAUGGCCAACAGACACAUGGAAAGGUGCUCAACAUCACUAAUCAUCAGGGAAAUGCAAAUCAAAACCACAAAAAUAACACCUGACACCUGUCAAAAAGACGAGAUAAGUGUUGACAAGGGUGUGGAGAAAAGCUCUCUGCACCCCCAUGUUUACUAAGGAAUUAUUUAUAAUAGCCGUGGUUUGGAAACAACCUUAAGGGUCUGUGGGUGGAUGAAUGGAUAAAGUUGUGAGACACAUACAGACACAUACAUACAUGCAAUGAAAUAUUACUCAGCCAUUAAAAAAGAAGGAAAUCUUGCCAUUAGCAACAACUUGGACCUAGAGGGCAUUAUGCUGAGUAGAAUUAGAGAAAGAUAUCAAGUACCACAUGAUCUCACUUAGAUGUAGAAUCCAAAACACAAAACCAACCAACCAACAAGACAAAACCAAACUCAUAGAUAGAACAGAUUGUUGGUUAUCAAUGGUGAGGGGGGCAGGGGUGGGCAAAAGGGUUAAGGGGGUCAACUGUAUGGUGACAGAUGGUAACUAUAGACUUGUGGUGGUGAUCAGUUUGUAGUGCAUACAAAUAAUGAAUUAUUCUGUAUACCUGAGACUAAUAUAUUGUUAGGUACCAAUUUUACCUAAAAAAAAAAAAAAAAAA